AUUGAACGCUGGCGGCAGGCCUAACACAUGCAAGUCGAACGGUAACAGGAAACAGCUUGCUGUUUCGCUGACGAGUGGCGGACGGGUGAGUAAUGUCUGGGAAACUGCCUGAUGGAGGGGGAUAACUACUGGAAACGGUAGCUAAUACCGCAUAACGUCGCAAGACCAAAGAGGGGGACCCUCGGGCCUCUUGCCAUCGGAUGUGCCCAGAUGGGAUUAGCUUGUUGGUGGGGUAACGGCUCACCAAGGCGACGAUCCCUAGCUGGUCUGAGAGGAUGACCAGCCACACUGGAACUGAGACACGGUCCAGACUCCUACGGGAGGCAGCAGUGGGGAAUAUUGCACAAUGGGCGCAAGCCUGAUGCAGCCAUGCCGCGUGUAUGAAGAAGGCCUUCGGGUUGUAAAGUACUUUCAGCGGGGAGGAAGGGAGUAAAGUUAAUACCUUGGCUCAUUGACGUUACCCGCCGAAGAAGCACCGGCUAACUCCGUG
rnacentral:rRNA from 1 species